rnacentral:lncRNA from 1 species
UCGUACAAUUAUUUGGUGAAGGUUGUUAUUUAACCUAGUAUAUGUAAGUUGGGGGUAUGCUCCAUAUAAGAGCUACUCCAUUACUAAUGUAACUAUAGAUUAUAUUUAUAUUACUAUAGGUAAUUAUUUCCCAUUGUCAUUUUAGAGUUACAUAGUUUGUAUUUUUCUAACUCAGAGGUUGUCAAAAAUCUAAGUAGUUAUAUUUAAUAAAUAUUUAUUUGUUUU